AAUCCAUGGUAUGGACAUUUCCGUAACAAAUCUCUACACCUUUCCCACGUCUCAUAUAAAGAUUCCCCGUCUUGUUGACUAGAACUAGUGAUGUCCAUUCUAAGUUU